rnacentral:pre_miRNA from 1 species
UAGCUUCAAUAGGGGUUGUCUCCUGAUUGCUCACUUUUUCAAAAAUGUUUUCAUAUGGAGAAGAUUUGAAAAAGUGAGCAAUCAGGAGACAAUCUCUACUGAAGCUAAAA